rnacentral:lncRNA from 1 species
CGACUGUUGUGGGCUUGGUGUGGUUUCGGCUGUGGGUCUGUCUGUAGCCAGAUAGAGCGCCGGCUGCGAGUCAGAAGGUGUCAGUGUUUUCAGUUAUUGGAGAUGAUGCUACUGUUUGCAGUAAGAGUUUGAAUUAUGGAAGAAGCAAGCGAGGCAAGCCACACAGAGAGACUAGAUGAACAGACAUGUAAUGCCAACCCAGAUGACUCUGACCAGCACGUCAGGCUGCAUAAGAAUCAGGAUAACCUGAAAAGACGUGUGAAGAACAGUAUUAAGUUUAAGGACUGUAGUAACCCUUGUCCUAAUAUCACUCAGUUCCCAGACCUCAUGGAAUACCUUCCGAAGGGCUAUAAUUAUCACGUGUGUUCGUACACAGUUAAUAAAAAGCACGAGGAUCACUUGGAUUUUGAAGCCAUGAUUCGUGUACAAACGAAAACGGAGGAAGAAGUGCAACAGUGGCUCCGUGUUUUGAGAGAAACUACAAAUGUGACAUGGAGGAUUGACAAAAGUAGACCACGCAAAAAACAGCGCGUUCUCUUUAAAGCCGAUUAUAGGUGCCACCACAAUACUAAGCCACGGUCUUCAAAUGCAAAUAAUAAGAGAAGGUCAAAAAACACUAACUGUCCUGCAAAACUGUACAUAACAGUGGUUCGCACUGCCAUCAGCCAGGGAAGACAGAGUGGGAGUACAGAUCCUCAUGUUCCUCUUUAUCCAACACUUAUUCGCCUGGCUAAUUUACACAACCAUGUCGUAUGUGCCAGUGAUGCUCCACGACAUCGGGAUUUUGGUGAAGAUGCCAUGAGACACUUAAGUCAGCUCUGUGAGACUGGUCACUUGACGUCUUCAGCUCCCGAUGUGCUGAAAUAUGACCUGCAAAUAGAGACCUCUGAAAACUGUAUUUACAUUUCUUCUGAUGGAGACAUCUGCCCUGAACUCCAGUACUGUGAUAGUCAACUUGGAUUUUCAGAAGGGACCAAAGUUUGUAACUCUGAGGCACUGAAGACAUCCAGUAAUUUACCAAAUGUGUCUGAUGACCAUUCCACACUCCAGUUUGACAAGAAUGAGUUCUCUACAAUUAAACAGAAAUUCCAAGACAUGUGUGAUGAACUUAUGGCAGUGAUUAAUGAUUCGCCAGAAAGUUUUGCAGAACCCGCACAAGCAAUGGUGACGAACUUUGACAGAAUUAGAAACGAUAGACUGAAGGUUCUGUCAGCCAUGCGCAUGUUUGGUCGAUACACCAGCAUCAGUUCGGCUGCGCGAAGAGCUUCCGGAAAUCAGCGCACAGCUAAGCACAGGGGCUGUACGGGAGCUGCUCAGCAGGCUCAUAGGAAGAACAAACUUGGAAGCAGAAGACAUCGUCAUGCUGGAAGCCCUACAAAAUUUCCCACAGAUCAUAUCUAUUAUUUGCAGCAGUGA